GCAGAGUGUCCAUGGGAGAUUGUCAGAGCUGGCGUAAGAACUUCUUGCUGUAAAGGAAGGAAAUGCUGGAGACCACAGCAACACCAACCACGACCCCAGAAGCAUCACCCUCCAAAGCGACAGUCCUCAGGCCCAGCCUCUUGACCCUCCUGCUCCUCACUGGCUUAGCUCUGCUUUGGCAUGUGUUGACUCUAGCUUGAUCCACACAGAUAAUGUAAGUUACAACAUGGAGUUUGGAAGAACCUGAGUGAUACGGGAUAAAGAUGAAGGCUAACACACGAUCUUCUUCUUGAAAGCCACAUCUGAACAGAUCAUAGAGAUUGCGGUACAGUGCUGAGUCGUCUCCACGCAACCAGACAACACAGCGUGUGCAGGGCUUGGGGUGGGGCAGACUUUCUUUCUUGGCUGGCUUGCUUUCUUUCCCUUUUUUCAUUCUGCCUUUCUUUGCAAAUUUAUGUACUUGAAUGUUAGGAAGAGAGAGAGGAGAGAGGGGGAAGAGAGAAGGGGAGAUGACAAAGAAACAGAGAAACACAGGAGCUCUUUCAUCUGCUGAUUCACUGCCCAGCGGAUGCAACACCUGCGUCUGGACCAGAUCCACACCAGCAGUAGGAACUCCAUCGGUGUCUGCCGUGUAGGUGGAGCCUACUUGAGCCUUCCUCCACUAUCUUCCUGGUUGUGGAGCACCUAGACUUGAACUUGCACUUGCACAUGGGAUGGCAGUGUUAUAAGCAGUGGCUUAACCCACUGCACCACAAAGCCAGCCCCAUGAAAGCAAUUUUCAUUUGACCUGCUGUGUUCAGAAUUAAUACAGAAUUGUACAGAAGUAUUAGAUAAUGUAUUUUAAGAGAAUAAUGAAAUAGCUGG